CUGGAAACUGUAGUCGUUUAAACUCAAAUGGCACAUCAGUCGGAAUCAUUGGGAUGCGCGCCAGUAUAGCUCGUUCGCUCAACCAAUCAUGGUUUCUGUAAUUUUGAGAAACAUCUGGAAACACCUUCUGAAUAAGUUCAUCUUUUGAUCGA